GAUGAACGCUGGCGGCGUGCCUAAUACAUGCCAGUCGAGCGAACGGACGGGAAGCUUGCUUCUCUGAUGUUAGCGGCGGACGGGUGAGUAACACGUGGAUAACCUACCUAUAAGACUGGGAUAACUUCGGGAAACCGGAGCUAAUACCGGAUGAUAUUUUGAACCGCAUGGUUCAAAAGUGAAAGACGGUCUUGCUGUCACUUAUAGAUGGAUCCGCGCUGCAUUAGCUAGUUGGUAAGGUAACGGCUUACCAAGGCAACGAUGCAUAGCCGACCUGAGAGGGUGAUCGGCCACACUGGAACUGAGACACGGUCCAGACUCCUACGGGAGGCAGCAGUAGGGAAUCUUCCGCAAUGGGCGAAAGCCUGACGGAGCAACGCCGCGUGAGUGAUGAAGGUCUUCGGAUCGUAAAACUCUGUUAUUAGGGAAGAACAUAUGUGUAAGUAACUGUGCACAUCUUGACGGUACCUAAUCAGAAAGCCACGGCUAACUACGUG
rnacentral:rRNA from 1 species